rnacentral:rRNA from 1 species
UACGGAGGGUGCAAGCGUUGUUCGGAAUCAUUGGGCGUAAAGCGCGUGUAGGCGGUCCGGUAAGUCCGCUGUGAAAGUCGGGGGCUCAACCCUCGGAUGCCGGUGGAUACUGUCGGGCUUGAGUACGGAAGAGGCGAGUGGAAUUCCUGGUGUAGCGGUGAAAUGCGCAGAUAUCAGGAGGAACACCAAUUGCGAAGGCAGCUCGCUGGGACGUUACUGACGCUGAGACGCGAAAGCGUGGGGAGCAAACAGG